rnacentral:snRNA from 1 species
GUGCUCACUUUGGCAGCAGAUAUCCUAAAACUGAAACAAUACAGAGAAGAUUGGCAUGGCCCAUACACAAAGGAUGACACGCAAAUUUGUCAAGCAUUCCAUAUUUUG